rnacentral:rRNA from 1 species
CACGUAGGCGGAUUGGUAAGUCAGAUGUGAAAUCCCGGAGCUCAACUCCGGAACUGCAUUUGAUACUGCCAGUCUUGAGUGAGGUAGAGGGGGGUGGAAUUCCCGGUGUAGGGGUGAAAUUUGUAGAUAUCGGGAGGAACACCAGAGGCGAAGGCGACCCCCUGGGCCUCUACUGACGCUGAGGUGCGAAAGCGUGGGGAGCAAACA